rnacentral:rRNA from 1 species
CGAGUGAACUGGAAUUAGCCCAUCACGAAAUCUAUAUUAUAUUAAUAAUAUCGAAAUGUCGUGUAUAGGUUUUAUUAUUAUUAAUAAAUUAUUAUUAAAUAAUUGUAUUUAAAUAUACAGCCAUAGAAGGUGCCAGCCCUGUUAUUUAAUAAUAUUUAUUAAAUUUAUAAAACUUUAGAGUCGUGUUGCUUGGAAGUGCAGCACAAAGUUGGUGAUAAACAUCAUCUAAGGCUAAAUAUUCCUAUGAAUCCGAUAGCGAACAAGUACUGUGAAGGAAAAUUGCAAAGUACUCCGGAGAGAGAGUUAAAGAGGACGUGAAACCGAUACGAUGGAAGCAUACAGAGCCAGUUGCACUAUUAUUAAUAUUUAUUUAUUAAUAAUUUUAAGCAUGGAUAUAUUGAUUAAUAAUUAAUUAUUUAUUAAAGAGUGAUAAAAUUUUUUAAAAUUUUGUUAACUUUAAUAAAAUAAUUAUAUUUUUAAUUAAUAUUUAAAAAUUUAUUAAUUAAUUAAUAAUAUAUUAUUUUAUUAAUAUAAUAUAAGACACAUGUGUUAAAUAUUAUUUAUUUAAUAAUUAAUAUAUUAUUAUAAAUUAAUAAUAUCUAUGUAAUCCUGGUAUGCUGUAUGUCCCGUCUUGAAACACGGACCAAGGAGUGUAUUAUUAUGGCAAGUCAUUGAUAUUAUUAAUAUCAAAGGCAUAAUGAAAAUAAUUUUAAUCUCAGAUCUUUUGAUUAUAUUAUCAUUAGCGCAUGAGAAACGUAAAUAUAUGAUUUUAUUCAUUUUUUGCAGUUAUAGCCAUAAUAGUGCGACCCGAAAGAUGGUGAACUAUACUAGUGCAGGGUGAAGUCAGAAGAAAUUCUGAUGGAAGCUCGAAGCGGUCCUGACGUGCAAAUCGGUCGU